AAUAGGAGUCAGUAGCGCGGAAAAAAUUUUUGUAUGUCGACAUGUUCCGACCCAUCAAAACAAUCGAAUUUUCAGUAUCAUGUUUAAUAAUAUAAUGUUCAUUAUAGUUUUUAUGUAAAUAUGUAUUUAUAUCAUCGUGGUUGUUUGUUUUAUGGUUUAUAAUAAACAUUAUUUUAAGUUGUAAGUGCAUGUAAGCAAAAUGAAUACGAAAAAGAUGUUGGUAGGUUCGAAGUUGUAUUAUUUUAACUUCAAAUCAACCGAGUGGAGUUGGAAGCCGUAAUAAGGGUAUUAAACAUCCAUUCAGUUUUUUGGUAACUAUGUAUGACAUUUACAUAAAAAAUUUUUGAGCAAUGCUGUAAUUGCCAAAACAAUAUUCUCAAAAAUUGAUAACAGAGAAAUAUUCACUAUUUCCUAUCCGCAAUACAAUAUCAUAUAUUAGUAGCUCCAGUUCAUAAAUGGUAUGUUUGGCAUACGUCAAAUACGGAUAAAUUACUCUUACUAUACAUCCCCCCGUAUUUACAUUUAAUUAUAUUACUAAAUUUACAGAAAUUUCUACUCGCGCAUUAAAACAAAAACAAACUAAUUUUAAUUCUAAAUUGUACUUCGAGAUUUGAAAAUGUAAACUAAUUCUUUAUAAAAUAACCAAAAUAAAUUAAAUCAUAGCACAUUAGUAGAGACUUUAUUAAA